GGGGAUUUAGCUCAGCGGUAGAGCGCUUGCCUAGCAAGUGCAAGACCCUGGGUUCGGUCCCCAGCCCUG
rnacentral:tRNA from 1 species